rnacentral:rRNA from 1 species
AUUUGAGAGCUUGCUCUCAAAUGUUAGCGGCGGACGGGUGAGUAACACGUGGGCAACCUGCCUAUAAGACUGGGAUAACUUCGGGAAACCGGAGCUAAUACCGGAUAAUUCAUAUCUACUCAUGUAGAUAUGCUGAAAGACGGUUUACGCUGUCACUUAUAGAUGGGCCCGCGGCGCAUUAGCUAGUUGGUGAGGUAAUGGCUCACCAAGGCAACGAUGCGUAGCCGACCUGAGAGGGUGAUCGGCCACACUGGGACUGAGACACGGCCCAGACUCCUACGGGAGGCAGCAGUAGGGAAUCUUCCGCAAUGGACGAAAGUCUGACGGAGCAACGCCGCGUGAGUGAUGAAGGUUUUCGGA